ensembl:snRNA U6 U6 spliceosomal RNA
GUGUUCGCUUCAGCAGCACAUAUACUAAAGUUGGAACAAUUACAGAGAAUAUUAGCAUGCCCCUUCCAUA